rnacentral:rRNA from 1 species
AUGAACGCUGGCGGCGUGCCUAAUACAUGCAAGUCGAGCGAACGGACGAGAAGCUUGCUUCUCUGAUGUUAGCGGCGGACGGGUGAGUAACACGUGGGUAACCUACCUAUAAGACUGGGAUAACUUCGGGAAACCGUAGCUAAUACCGGAUAAUAUUUUGAACCGCAUGGUUCAAAAGUGAAAGACGGUCUUGCUGUCACUUAUAGAUGGAUCCGCGCUGCAUUAGCUAGUUGGUAAGGUAACGGCUUACCAAGGCAACGAUGCAUAGCCGACCUGAGAGGGUGAUCGGCCACACUGGAACUGAGACACGGUCCAGACUCCUACGGGAGGCAGCAGUAGGGAAUCUUCCGCAAUGGGCGAAAGCCUGACGGAGCAACGCCGCGUGAGUGAUGAAGGUCUUCGGAUCGUAAAACUCUGUUAUUAGGGAAGAACAUAUGUGUAAGUAACUGUGCACAUCUUGACGGUACCUAAUCAGAAAGCCACGGCUAACUACGUG